UACGUAGGGUGCGAGCGUUGUCCGGAAUUAUUGGGCGUAAAGAGCUUGUAGGUGGUUUGUCGCGUCUGCUGUGAAAAUCCGAGGCUCAACCUCGGACUUGCAGUGGGUACGGGCAGACUAGAGUGUGGUAGGGGGAGACUGGAAUUCCUGGUGUAGCGGUGGAAUGCGCAGAUAUCAGGAAGAACACCUAUGGCGAAGGCAGCUCUCUGGGACGGUACUGACGCUGAGACGCGAAAGCGUGGGGAGCGAACAGG
rnacentral:rRNA from 1 species